GCAGUUUUGUGGUCUGUUUGAAAGUGAGUUGCUGAACUUCCUGAGGUGUGAAGUGUGAACUAACUUGUAGAAUCUACGAGUUGUUUCAUUUUCCUGGUGCUGUGGCUAUUUCUUCUUGGAGUUUCAAGUAUGGUUCACCCUCGUUUCUUUAGGUAAAGUGGAAGGUGUCUUUUUCCAAUGUGGGGUUUCCCUUCUGUUCUACCAUGUCUACCGCCUGUACUGUAGUGUAGUGUAGUUCUGUUUGUGCUAUAUUAUUGUACCUGGGAUGCGCUAGACCUGCCACUGGCCGACUGGGCACUGGUGCCAGGCUGGCAGAGGUAGAGUGUUCAUACUAGUGAACAGUGUGCUGGCGUGAACCAUUCGCAGGGUGAUUGAAGUGAUGGGUGGAAGUCAAACCACAGAGAGAUGCUACAGCUACCGGUAUACCGCAGAGGACACUGCAUGCGGCCCAAAGAAGCUGAAAAAAAGAGGAAAUGCCCCCGACGGGCCUGAGACCACAAAUAUGGAAGCACAAGCAUUCGAUAAUUUUUGAUACAAUGUAGAUGGCAGGCGGGCGAAUACUGGAAAUGGAGCAGGAUCUCACUCAAAUCUCAAGCCAGUUCUGAGGAGGCUGUUGGAAUGACAUAAUUAUACAUCAGAAGCAACUUGCCCGUAAGGGAGUGGGCAGGCUUACUGUUGGUGAGCAACUCAUCACGGACACGCGCCGGUGAGGUUGCAACACAUGGAGCGUCGGCCAACCAUCCUGCUGGCGGUGGGCUUUCAGAACUGAUUUCAACCUGCUUCGAUUAACAUGAGAUGUGCAGCGACGGAACAGAGAUCUUUGCAUCCGCACUGAGCAUGAUCUGGGGUGUGCUGGACAUCGUUGGUUGCCGGACCACGUCCUGCCCUUAUUGACUACAUGGUUAGGCAUGGUAUGAUUAGCUCCUGAAUUGUGAAGGAACUGACAGCAUAACUGGCCAACCUACUUCUUUGACAACGUUAUCAGAACUACUCGCAGUACAUCACUAGUGACAGUUUACUUCCGUUUUAUUGUACUUUUCACGUAACACCCCACGAUUAAACUUUGUCAGACAGUUCUCACUACGUGCAGAAUCUCCUGUGCGAUAUCCAUGUGUGCCUACACUUCACAUUGCCUUUUCACUGAUUAUAUUGCAAAAUCAUGUCCAGGGAGAUUUGUCAGUUGCCUACAGAUAUUUUGUGCUCACAUUCCUUGCCGAAUUCCCGCAGAAUAUAGAAUUAUUUGAAAUGCCGCAACUCCUGGAAUUUACACGGUGACAGGUUGUUGUGGUGUAGGUUAUGUACUGUUGAACAGAAACAUCUCCACACAGCGAUAGGCACACAA